AAUAAACGCUGGCGGCGUGCCUAACACAUGCAGGUCGAGCGAGAAAGUUCCUUCGGGAGCAAGUAAAGCGGCGGACGGGUGAGUAACGCGUGAGAAUUUACCCUUUAGUGAGGAAUACCUCUGAGAAAUCAGGGCUAAUACUGCAUAAGUCCCUACGGGGAGAAAGGUGGCCUAUUUGCUGCCGCUAAAGGAUAAGCUUGCGGGCUAUUAGCUAGUUGGUGAGGUAAAGGCUCACCAAGGCGAUGAUGGCUAGCCGGCCUGAGAGGGUGUACGGCCACACUGGAACUUAGACACGGUCCAGACUCCUACGGGAGGCAGCAGUGAGGAAUAUUGCGCAAUGGGCGAAAGCCUGACGCAGCGACGCCGCGUGGAGGAUGAAGGUCUUCGGAUUGUAAACUUCUGUUAAGUGGGAAGGAAGAUUUAUCCCUAAUAUGGAUAAAGGAUGACGGUACCAUUAGAGAAAGCACCGGCUAACUUCGUGCCAGCAGCCGCGGU
rnacentral:rRNA from 1 species